GCUCUCUUCGUCUAGUGGUCAGGACGCUGGCCUCUCACGCCGGUAACAGGGGUUCGAAUCCCCUAGAGAGCGCCA
rnacentral:tRNA from 1 species